GUGGGGUUGCAUACCGGUGUCCCCGCUGGGUACCGGAGGACAAGGGGCCACAGCAUCCUGGGGUGUCUUUGCCAGGAUGCUCCACACCAGGUUUUCUGUCCACCGCAGGAUUUAGGAAGCGCUUGGCAAGCGCUCGGUGAGUGCCCAUGCACUGCAGCAAUGAUCGAUACAGCUCUCAGCUUCGCCCCUUACCACCAGCACAGAGCAGCGUGGGAGCUGUUACGGCCGGGGGCUGCCGGCAGGAUCCAUCCCUGCAACCCCAUCUGCUCCGGUUCAAAGGGCUGAGAUGGAGCUCUGUGCUGCGGUGAAAUCGGCGUUGGAGGGAUUAGGGCAGGAGGGGCCGGUGCUGCUGGGAGCAGAGUGGGCUCUCAGUCAGAGAGAAGCAGAGCCUGACAGUGCUGUGACUCCCUCUUCUUAAGGAGAUGAGCUUGCAGUAAAGCAAGGAGCACGUGAGAGGCUGAUGUCAACAUUCCCCUUUAUUGCCACGGCGAAAUGUGAAGACUACAUUAAUUUGCAUUUGCUGUGUGCAAGUAACGCAUUCCAGAUCAUCGUGGUAACUCCUCAAAGGUAUAGACGAGAAUUUCCUGGAUCGUGUGCUGGAUGGAAAAAGCUGCUGGGAUCCAGGAGAAGGAAACAGCAUUGUGUGUUUUCAUAACUCCACCUGGAAGCGGUGCAGAGGAGCGGGGGAGCAAAGUGGGGCUCUGCACACUGUUGGUGCACGGAGGAUGCGGGCUCUGAGCAACAAAUCACCGACAUCCAUGGGCAGGGGCACAGCUGCACCACGAAGCCUUUAACACGUCCUUCCUCCAUAAAACAAACAACCCGUCGCUAACUGGAAGUCACGCCGUUCUUACUUGGAGCCACGUGCUGAACGGACGGGCGCUGGGGCUGAGAUAAUGGUGACCCUUUGUGCGCGGAGCUGACGGAUGCAUCGCGCCCUGCGCGGAGCUCACCUCGCACCCGCAGUAAAUCAGCGGCGCUGAGCUCAGUGCUCCACGUGCACGUGGCCGUGGUGCAGAGCUGGGGAUCUUCUGGAUCGAUACGGCAAGUGCAUCGAGACUGUAGCAACACAUUUAAAACCUUAUAAAAGGUUAUUUAGUUGCUAACGGUGCAGCAGUUUCUGCAAAGCCUGCCAAAAGGUUACAGCUUUUUGGGCAUCAUAAAUUACGGACGACGGGGAAAAAAACUGCCCAACCUGUUCGUCCUGCUCUCCUGCUUGCAGGGAGCUGGAGCCAGGAGCACUCCUGCAGAUCAUUUCGAUUCGGGUAAAUCAGCGCUUUCCACUCCCCAAAGGAUAUUUCCCACCAGUUGGGCUGCGGGGUCACCUCCAGCAGAGAAGACCUUGAGUGAUGGAUGCUGUGUCUCGCAGCAAGGUGCUCAGAAAGAGCUUGGAAACAGCAUUGGGUCCCAUUGGAAGUGGGGUGAUGGUGUCUGCGCUGCAAAUGAGGACCAACUUGGUGGGGCAUCAACAUGGAUCACAAGGGAAAUGGCCAAAAUGGCGAUUUAUUGGAGGCCGUUGCAUACCUCUUAACCUCAAACACUGCAACAAAGAAGAUGGGAAGCCUGCAGAGCCCCGAGAACCUGGAGACAGCAAACCCUGCUCAUUCCCUGGGCUGGGAGCUCUGCACUGUGCUGGGCUGAGCCAUGCGUGUGCAGAGCAAAGGGCCCUGAGGCCGUCCUGCCCCUCCACUGUGCUUCUCCCUCUUGAAGCCAUGAGGAAUUUCG
ensembl:lncRNA